GACUGCUUGGCGCAAUGGUAGCGCGUUCGACUCCAGAUCGAAAGGUUGGGCGUUCGCGACUCCUCCCCGAUCCGCUCAGUGGUCA